UUUUAGAGUUUGAUUCCUGGCUCAGAUUGAACGCUGGCGGCAGGCCUAACACAUGCAAGUCGAGCGGUAACAGAUCCAGCUUGCUGGAUGCUGACGAGCGGCGGACGGGUGAGUAACGCAUAGGAAUUUACCCGAUAGUGGGGGAUAACCUGGGGAAACUCAGGCUAAUACCGCAUACGUCCUACGGGAGAAAGGGGGCCUUGGCUCCCGCUAUCGGAUGAGCCUAUGCCGGAUUAGCUGGUUGGUGAGGUAAUGGCUCACCAAGGCGACGAUCCGUAGCUGGUCUGAGAGGAUGAUCAGCCACAUCGGGACUGAGACACGGCCCGAACUCCUACGGGAGGCAGCAGUGGGGAAUAUUGGACAAUGGGGGCAACCCUGAUCCAGCCAUGCCGCGUGUGUGAAGAAGGCCCUCGGGUUGUAAAGCACUUUCAGCGAGGAAGAACGCCUGGCGGUUAAUACCCGCCAGGAAAGACAUCACUCGCAGAAGA
rnacentral:rRNA from 1 species